AUGUGAAUUAACGGGAAUAGAACAUGCAUUCAUGCAUACCUUAUGAUGAUUGUUUGGUUAUCUUUUGUGUGAAGAGAAAUAGCUCCCUACUGAGCCACAGGUUGAGCUCACCCCUUAACAGUCUUGCAGGUUAUUAAACACAAGAACUAUGAAGAUUAGUGAUCGACAGCAAUUAGAGUUAGUUGGAGUUUUGCUUAUGUAAAAUCAUUAUUCCGUAAUUGGUGUCCGUGGAAUAUUCUAGCCAUGCCAAAAUCAGAAAUUUUGGGGUUCAUCUCAGCAUCUAGAAGAAUAUUACUAGUUUUCAGAUCUCUAUGGAUGAUCCUCAAUCUUGAGUCUUGGUGAAGAUACAGAAUCCCACGAGCAAUUCCGUUGAUAAUUUCAAAGCGCUUUUCCCAAUCCAAGAAGGACUGUCUUGUGUUAUCAACAUCAAAUUGCAAAUGGAAAUAAGCGGGUUGUGGAUUUCGGAAGAAGUCGUGUGAAAAUGGCGGCAAUUGGAAUUACUGACAAAAGACAAAAUUGUUGACAUGGUCAACCACAUUCAAAGUCAAGAAAGAGUAGAAUGCAAUUAUGCAUAAUUUUGGGUGCAAGUGCUUGAAAAUAUAAGGAGUUAGAAAUGGAUGAGAGAGAAGAAGAAAAAUAAUUCAAAAA